CCUACGGGGGGCAGCAGUGAGGAAUAUUGGUCAAUGGGCGGGAGCCUGAACCAGCCAAGUAGCGUGAGGGAUGAAGGUACUGCGGAUUGUAAACCUCUUUUGUCAGGGAAUAAAGUCGGGGACUAGUCCCCGUAUGUGGGUACCUGAUGAAUAAGCAUCGGCUAACUCCGUGCCAGCAGCCGCGGUAAUACGGAGGAUGCGAGCGUUAUCCGGAUUUAUUGGGUUUAAAGGGAGCGUAGGUGGGCUGUUAAGUCAGCGGUGAAAGUUUGGGGCUCAACCGCGGAAGUGCAGUUGAUACUGGCAGCCUUGAGUAGAGUAGAAGUAGGCGGAAUUCGCGGUGUAGCGGUGAAAUGCUUAGAUAUCGCGCAGAACCCCGAUUGCGAAGGCAGCUUAC
rnacentral:rRNA from 1 species